AGAGAGAGACAUGCGCGCAUAUCAAUAAGCGGAGGAAAAGAAACUAACAAGGAUUCCCUUAGUAACGGCGAGUGAAGCGGGAAGAGCUCAAAUUUGAAAUCUUCAAGGUUUUACCUUGACGAAUUGUAGUUUAAAGAAGUGUUUUCUGCUGAAGUUUUGGUAAAAGUUCUUUGGAAUAGGACAUCAUAGAGGGUGAGAAUCCCGUAUUUGACCAUUAUUUUCAGCUUUGUGAUACACUUUCAAAGAGUCGGAUUGUUUGGGAAUGCAGUCCAAAAUGGGUGGUAAAUUUCAUCUAAAGCUAAAUAUUGGCGAGAGACCGAUAGCGAACAAGUACCGUGAGGGAAAGAUGAAAAGAACUUUGAAAAGAGAGUUAAACAGUACGUGAAAUUGUCAAAAGGGAAGCGUUUGACACCAGUGUUGUUUUCUCGAAAAUCAAUUAAAAAUGGCUCGAUUUUGUAUUGCUUGAGACCUUAAAAGCUCACUGUACAUUUUUCGUGUCUUUUUUAAUGCACUUUUCGUUUAACAAGUCAACAUCAGUUUCUUUUGUUGUAAAAGGGUCAUUGGAAGGUGGCUUUCUUUUCGGAGAAAGUGUUUAUAGCCUUUGGCCUCUGCAAUCGGAGAGACUGAGGUCUGCAGCGUAGACUCUUCGGGGUUAGAUACAUUUGUGCUAAGCUAUAGCUUUUUAUAGACAACUUGUUGACUAUAAUUAGUCUUGUAGCUUACUCGCUUAUGCUAUUUUACCUACGCUUAGGAUGUUGAAGAUGUAGCACAUCAU
rnacentral:rRNA from 1 species